GAAAUGCGAUAAGUAAUGUGAAUUGUAGAAUUCAGUGAAUCAUCGAAUCUUUGAACGCACCUUGCGCUCCUUGGUAUUCCUUGGAGCAUGCCUGUUUGAGUAUCAUGAAAUCUUCAAAGUAAAUCUUAUGUUAACUCAAUUGGUUUCUACUUUGGUAUUGGAGGUCUUUGCAGCUUCACACCUGCUCCUCUUUGUUCAUUAGCUGGAUCUCAGUGUUAUGCUUGGUUCCACUCGGCGUGAUAAGUUAUCUAUCGCUGAGGACACUGUAAAAGGUGGCCAAGGUAAAUGCAGAUGAACCGCUUCUAAUAGUCCAUUGACUUGGACAAUACUUUUAUGAUCUGAUCUCAAAUCAGGUAGGACUACCCGCUGAACUUAAGC
rnacentral:misc_RNA from 1 species